AUGCGUAGGGUGCAAGCGUUAAUCGGAAUUACUGGGCGUAAAGCGUGCGCAGGCGGUUUUGUAAGACAGUGGUGAAAUCCCCGGGCUCAACCUGGGAACUGCCAUUGUGACUGCAAGGCUGGAGUGCGGCAGAGGGGGAUGGAAUUCCGCGUGUAGCAGUGAAAUGCGUAGAUAUGCGGAGGAACACCGAUGGCGAAGGCAAUCCCCUGGGCCUGCACUGACGCUCAUGCACGAAAGCGUGGGGAGCAAACAGGAUUAGAUACCCUGGUAGUCCACGCCCUAAACGAUGUCAACUGGUUGUUGGGGAUUUAUUUUCUCAGUAACGAAGCUAACGCGUGAAGUUGACCGCCUGGGGAGUACGGCCGCAAGGUUAAAACUCAAAGGAAUUGACGGGG
rnacentral:rRNA from 1 species